rnacentral:rRNA from 1 species
GAUCCUGGCUCAGAUUGAACGCUGGCGGCAGGCUUAACACAUGCAAGUCGAGCGGGGGAGGUUGCUUCGGUAACUGACCUAGCGGCGGACGGGUGAGUAAUGCUUAGGAAUCUGCCUAUUAGUGGGGGACAACAUUCCGAAAGGAAUGCUAAUACCGCAUACGUCCUACGGGGAAAGCAGGGGAUCUUCGGACCUUGCGCUAAUAGAUGAGCCUAAGUCGGAUUAGCUAGUUGGUGGGGUAAAGGCCUACCAAGG